rnacentral:rRNA from 1 species
AUUGAACGCUGGCGGCAGGCCUAACACAUGCAAGUCGAGCGGAUGAGAAGAGCUUGCUCUUCGAGUUAGCGGCGGACGGGUGAGUAAUGCCUAGGAAUCUGCCUGGUAGUGGGGGACAACGUUUCGAAAGGAACGCUAAUACCGCAUACGUCCUACGGGAGAAAGCAGGGGACCUUCGGGCCUUGCGCUAUCAGAUGAGCCUAGGUCGGAUUAGCUAGUUGGUGAGGUAAUGGCUCACCAAGGCGACGAUCCGUAACGGGUCUGAGAGGAUGAUCAGUCACACUGGAACUGAGACACGGUCCAGACUCCUACGGGAGGCAGCAGUGGGGAAUAUUGGACAAUGGGCGAAAGCCUGAUCCAGCCAUGCCGCGUGUGUGAAGAAGGUCUUCGGAUUGUAAAGCACUUUAAGUUGGGAGGAAGGGCAGUAAGCGAAUACCUUGCUGUUUUGACGUUACCAACAGAAUAAGCACCGGCUAACUCUGUGCCAGCCGCCGCGGUAACAC